UACGUAGGGGGCAAGCGUUGUCCGGAGUUACUGGGCGUAAAGCGCACGCAGGCGGUCUUUUAAGUUUGGAGUGACAGUUGGUGGCUUAACUGCCAAAGUGCUUCGAAAACUGAGAGACUUGAGGGCUUCAGAGGGACACGGAAUUCCGGGUGGAGUGGUGAAAUGCGUAGAGAUCCGGAGGAACGCCAAAGGCGAAGGCAGUGUCCUGGGGAGUACCUGACGCUCAGGUGCGAAAGCCAGGGGAGCGAACGGG
rnacentral:rRNA from 1 species